rnacentral:rRNA from 1 species
AUGGCAGAAUCAUCCAACGAGCUCAAGUCCUUGAUCCAGGCCCUCAUGACGCGGUUCGACCACAGCACGCGUGCGGGCGAGAAGCACCUCGAGGCGCAGCUUGCGUUCAACACGCAAGUCUCGUCCGAUCUGGCGCAUCUUCGCAAGCAGCUGGAUCUCACGCAGGCGGACGUCGACGACGUGCGGCUUCUCCGCGAUCCACCAGCAUCUCCGACCGCGGGGACGCGUCUGCGACAGCCGGCGCCCGGCGCACAAGACGGCGAGCCGCAGGGGUCCUCGGUCACGUCGCUGGAGCAGCAGCACGGGCCCCUUCCGCACGCACCUCCGCCGCGUCUCAGCAACGGGGGGCCGCCGCUGUUGCCCACACGGGGCGUCCCGAUGUUUCCGGGCACGAACCAGACCGCGGCGCACGGGCCAGCGCGCGGCGUCCACUACGACCAAGGGCAGGAAUACGCCGUCAAGCCACCCAAGCACGACUUUCCGCGCUUCGAUGGCGACGCGCCCAGCCUCUGGAUCGACCGGUGCCUCGCCUACUUCGACCUGUACCGCAUCCCGCCGCACACAUGGGUCACCACGGCGUCGCUCUACAUCGAGGGCCAUGCCGCACACUGGCUGCAAGCGUUUCGCCAUGGCCAUCGGUCCUCUAUUUGGGAGGAGUUCACAACGGCGUUGAUCAGUGAAUUUGGUCCAAACGAAUUCGAGGUGGAAAUGCAUAAACUGCUGCAGCUUCGUCAGAGCGGCAGCGUGGCAGAAUAUCGGACAGAAUUUGAAGCUCACAUGUAUCAUUUGCUCGCCCUCGACGCGACUCUCAACCCGAAGAUCUUCGUCACUCAGUUCCUGCUCGGAUUGCGUGAUGAUUUGCGGGCUGCAGUUCGCCUUCAGGAACCUUCGAGCAUCACACGUGCGGCUGUCCUGGCCAGGAUAGUGGAGGAAGAAGCCGGAGUGCAACGACCGCGCCCGCGCAUUGCUCCAGCGGGUCGCCCGCCGCCUUCCCCUCUACCACCACAACGACUUGGGGGCGCACCACGGGCAGGCGGCGCCGGGCAACCCAACGACGAGCUGGCCCGAGAGCGCCAGUUACGCGACCACCGGCGUGCAAAUGGCCUCUGCUUCAAGUGUGGCGACAGGUACUCGCGCGAGCACAAAUGCAAGGCCGCAACGCAGUUGCUCACCAUCCAUAUUGGGGAUUUUGGGGAAGUGCUCAGCGACGAUACCGUCCACACACUGGAUUUGCUGGACGCGCCCGAGCAGUAG